rnacentral:rRNA from 1 species
CAGCAGCCACGGUAAUACGAAGGGUGCAAGCGUUACUCGGAAUUACUGGGCGUAAAGCGUGCGUAGGUGGUGGUUUAAGUCUGCUGUGAAAGCCCUGGGCUCAACCUGGGAAUUGCAGUGGAUACUGGAUCACUAGAGUGUGGUAGAGGGAUGCGGAAUUUCUGGUGUAGCAGUGAAAUGCGUAGAGAUCAGAAGGAACAUCCGUGGCGAAGGCGGCAUCCUGGGCCAACACUGACACUGAGGCACGAAAGCGUGGGGAGCAAACAGGAUUAGAUACCCGAGUAGUCCCUGUCUCUUAUAC